AAAUGAUCUUUUCUUAGAAAGUUUCUAGAAAUUAGACAGAGUCAGUAAUUCCUUCAGUCCUGAUUUUAAGGACUUAACAGCUCCUGAACAUCAGAGGCUUUCAUGGAGUUGAUUCCAGAUCAUCAUCCAGAAACUUCUUCUGUCGGCCAUGUUUGUUCACUCUGAACUCGAUUUAUCACGAGACGGUUUGAGAGAUUUCUGGUCUGACCUCCGUUUGGUGGUUUAUCAUGUAAAAUACUUUCCACCGUUUUACUGGACGCAUAAACUCUGUAGACGAGGCGAUUCACCUGGAGGCUGAAACUUUAUUUAUGAUCCGUUUGGCCUGACAGGAAAUGACCAAAACGAAGUCGUUAAAUAAUUCCAGAGUCACCUGAACCUGCUGGAGUGUCCGGUGUCGAACAUGAGGAACCGUCGCUUGGCUGAUCAGCAGAAACAGAAAGUCUUGGUCUAAAUGCUGGUUCGGUUUCCUCUGAUGCUCAUCAGCAGCCGCGGUCCAGAAGCGGCUCGUAGGAACCGGUUCAUCCCACCGCUGACUGAUCCUUACAGCUCUCCUGAUCCCUCCUGAUCCCGGCCCAGACUCGGGACGGGAAGGAAUCCAGCUCAGAGAUCUGCUGACUCCGUCUCCGAGCCGUUUGAGAUUCGCUGAAGGAGCGACGAGCGGCCUGGCAGCUCCUCCAGACUCCCGGUGAAAAAAGAGAGAGAAGAAGAAGAAGAAGAGAAGAAGAAGUCCGUUGAUCAUCAGGCUGAGUUAAGCUGCUGUCGCUGCUUAGGUUGAGUUGAACCACCUGAACCUGUUCUGAUCAAGAGCUCCAAUCAUGAGGCCCGUCCACCUGCAGGAGGAUGUGAUGCGUUGCCACUUCCUGUCCGCCUGCAGGGAACCUGAUUUCAGAGCAAACAUGGUCUCCCGUGUGUUUGCUUUGGGUCUGGAGGUUUUUCUGCACCUACAGCUUCAUCUAUUGUUGAGCUCAGCAGGUGAAAACCUCGGCGCCGAGGUCAGACGCUUAUGAAACAUGAAACAUGAGGAAUCAGAUAUCACCAUUCAUAUAAACACCGUCACAUAGAAACACGCAGGGAUUCCAGAAAGCACCACAA